ensembl:lncRNA
ACCAUAUAUAACACACCAGCAACCAUCUAGAUGGCUGCUAUGGUGUUCUAUGUAGUUGCUAGACUAGGUUCAGCUGGGGUGUUCUAGGUGGCUGCUAGGGUAUUGCCAUAUGGUUGCUAGGGCGUUCUAGGUGGUUGCUGUGGAAUUGCUAGAUGCUAGGGUGUUAUAUGCGGUUGCUAGGGUAUUGCUAGAUGGUUGCUAAGGUGUACUUGGUGGUUUCUAAGGACUUGCCAAGUGGUUGCUAGGUUAUUGCUAGACGGUUGCUAAGGUGUUUUAGGUGGUUGCUAAGGAAUUGCUAGAUAGUUGUUAGGGUGUUCUAAGUGGUUGCAAGAAAAUUGCUGGAUGGAUAAUAGCGUGUUAUAUGAGGUUGCUAGGGUAUUGCUAGAUGGUUGCUAGGUUAUUGGUAGAUAGUUGCUAGGGUGUUCUAGGUAGUUGCAAAGCUUGGUUCAGCCAGGGUGUUCUAGAUGAAUUUUAGGCCAUUGCCUAGCAACCACAUAGAAUGCCGUAGCAAUCACCCAGAGCACCUUAGCAAUAAUUUUAUUUAAUUUUUUUUCAGAAAAUAUGGAAAUCUGGUUGAGACCUUCGCAAGUUGUACAAAUAGCAGCACUUAUGUUUGCCUGUUUCGCCGUAUAGUUUCCUUUGACAAUGAAGGCUACUGUAAUGGAAACCAUUUGACCUCAAAUUGGACCAUCCAGACAACCUUUACCAGAGCCGCCGAUUUACAUGACAUAAAAACAUCAACCUGGGCCGACAUAAAUCUCCAACACUCCGCUAUUCAGGCACAGAUUGGAAUGGAUAAUGAAUGCCGAGUCAUGAGCGUUUUCGAUCCUGGACUCGUGGGGCAGGAGUGUAUGCAGAUACACUGGGCCGAACCCGCCGUCUGGCUUCUGUUCUCAGCGUGAUUACUGAGAGUCUGAAUGCUGGGACAUGUCUGGAGUGGAAAGCAG